AACACUGAUUUCAAGCUGUAACUCAGAAGCCUACAGUCAUGUAAAACCGCCUUUUCUGUUAGCACUGUGACAGGCAAAAUUCUUAUUGCUGCCCCCUGCGUCUCCUAUAGCUACCAUCAGCAUCUUUAGUUGGCAAAUUAGAAAUUUUAACAUUAUUUUUUGUUGUUUUCAGUUCUUUAUUUUAUAAAAUAGGUGUAUGUUCUUUUCAGCUUUUUCUGCUCCUUUUUUUCAUAACAGCUUUAGCAUUGCAGUAGGUGGACAUGUCUUGAAAAUCAGCAGGUAGAGAAGGAAUUGACAUUCAGGUGCAAUCUCUCAGGGUUCAGCCAGGGCAGAAGGAUAAACUGCAAUUUCAGUGCGUGCAGAUAGAGUGAGGGGUGCCUUUAAACAGACAUGCUUCUUUCAUAUUCUAAAGGGAAGCAGAUUGCAUGGAAUAUCCCAACUGGGUGUAAAGAACUUGUCUGCUGAGUGUGACACAAAUCUCCAUAGGAAGCUGGGACAGUAAAAGAGGGGCUGAGGUGCAAUAUAGUAUCUAAAACACUGAGCGCUUUAAAAACACGCAGUUCCAUAAACAUCAGCUGCGUGGUCUCUGCACUGCCCACGGCUCCAUGCUUGGUGUAGGUGCUGUUGCUGAUGGCUGCUCUCUCCUAGGGCAGGGUGGAACAAAGAAAGCAAUUUCUCUCCUUAAAAUCCACCAAUAAAAACAGCCAACCACAGAAAUACCAACAGAAUUAAUAUUAAAGCAGGGAAGACAGAUACUCAAAGCUCAGAAGUGAUGAAGACAGGCUGUUUGCAUGCACUGCUGUCCCUGCAGGUAAGUCUCAGUUGUUUCCUCAGCCUUAUUCCCUGUGUGUGCUGGAUGGCUGACCAGGAACAAGCCCAAAUUCCCAGUCUGACUGCUUCUUCUGCACUUUGUCCAGCAGUUACUGCAAUGUGCCUAUACUUCAGGAACAUAAAGAAAGCCAUGAUUAUGUUUUUUGUGUUCAUGAAACGAUGAUGAACAUGUUGUAUUCUUUUUCAAUAGCGGGCCCACAUAUACCAAAAAUGGACUUCUUCCUAAGGCUUCAAGCAGGCAGGGAUCCCCAACAAGACAU
ensembl:lncRNA